rnacentral:rRNA from 1 species
CCCCGCCAUAGCAAACUCCGAAUACCGAAGAGUGCAAUCACGGGAGACAGACAUCGGGUGCUAACGUCCGGUGUCAAGAGGGAAACAACCCAGACCGCCAGCUAAGGUCCCCAAAUAUAGCUAAGUGGGAAACGAAGUGGGAAGGCUAAAACAGUCAGGAGGUUGGCUUAGAAGCAGCCACCCUUUAAAGAAAGCGUAAUAGCUCACUGAUCGAGUCGUCCUGCGCGGAAGAUGUAACGGGGCUAAGCUAUAUACCGAAGCUGCGGACGCACGCAAGUGCGUGGUAGGAGAGCGUUCUGUAAGCCUGUGAAGGUGUCUUGUAAAGGAUGCUGGAGGUAUCAGAAGUGCGAAUGCUGACAUGAGUAGCGAUAAAGGGGGUGAAAGGCCCCCUCGCCGUAAGCCCAAGGUUUCCUACGCAACGUUCAUCGGCGUAGGGUGAGUCGGCCCCUAAGGCGAGGCAGAGAUGCGUAGCUGAUGGGAAGCAGGUUAAUAUUCCUGCACCGUCGUAUGAUGCGAUGGGGGGACGGAUCGCGGAAGGUUGUCCGGGUGUUGGAAGUCCCGGUCCCUGCAUUGGAGAAGGCGCUUAGGCAAAUCCGGGCGCGGAAUUCAAGGAUGCGGGGCGAGCGGCCUAGUGCUGCGAAGCAAUUGGAAGUGGUUCCAAGAAAAGCCUCUAAGCUUCAGUCAUACGAGACCGUACCGCAAACCGACACAGGUGGGCGAGAUGAGUAUUCUAAGGCGCUUGAGAGAACUCGGGAGAAGGAACUCGGCAAAUUGGUACCGUAACUUCGGGAUAAGGUACGCCCUGGUAGCUUGACUGGCCUGCGCCAGAAGGGUGACGGGGUUGCAAUAAAAUGGUGGCUGCGACUGUUUAAUAAAAACACAGCACUCUGCAAACACGAAAGUGGACGUAUAGGGUGUGACGCCUGCCCGGUGCCGGAAGAUUAAAUGAUGGGGUGCAAGCUCUUGAUUGAAGUCCCGGUAAACGGCGGCCGUAACUAUAACGGUCCUAAGGUAGCGAAAUUCCUUGUCGGGUAAGUUCCGACCUGCACGAAUGGCGUAACGAUGGCCACACUGUCUCCUCCCGAGACUCAGCGAAGUUGAAGUGUUUGUGAUGAUGCAAUCUCCCCGCGGCUAGACGGAAAGACCCCAUGAACCUUUACUGUAGCUUUGCAUUGGACUUUGAACCGAUCUGUGUAGGAUAGGUGGGAGGCUUUGAAGCGUGGACGCUAGUUCACGUGGAGCCGUCCUUGAAAUACCACCCUGGUUUGUUUGAGGUUCUAACCUUGGCCCGUGAAUCCGGGUCGGGGACAGUGCAUGGUAGGCAGUUUGACUGGGGCGGUCUCCUCCCAAAGUGUAACGGAGGAGUUCGAAGGUACGCUUGGUACGGUCGGACAUCGUACCUAAAGUGCAAUGGCAAAAGCGUGCUUAACUGCGAGACCGACAAGUCGAGCAGGUGCGAAAGCAGGACAUAGUGAUCCGGUGGUUCUGAAUGGAAGGGCCAUCGCUCAACGGAUAAAAGGUACUCUGGGGAUAACAGGCUGAUACCGCCCAAGAGUUCAUAUCGACGGCGGUGUUUGGCACCUCGAUGUCGGCUCAUCUCAUCCUGGGGCUGUAGCCGGUCCCAAGGGUAUGGCUGUUCGCCAUUUAAAGAGGUACGUGAGCUGGGUUUAAAACGUCGUGAGACAGUUUGGUCCCUAUCUGCCGUGGGCGUUGGAAUCUUGACGGGGGCUGCUCCUAGUACGAGAGGACCGGAGUGGACGUACCGCUGGUGUACCUGUUGUCUCGCCAGAGGCAUCGCAGGGUAGCUAUGUACGGAAGAGAUAACCGCUGAAAGCAUCUAAGCGGGAAACUCGCCUGAAGAUGAGGAUUCCCUGGAGGCUUGACCUCCUUGAAGGGUCGUUCGAGACCAGGACGUUGAUAGGCUGGGUGUGGAAGCGCAGUAAUGCGUUAAGCUAACCAGUACUAAUUGCCCGUAAGGCUUGAUCCU